rnacentral:rRNA from 1 species
ACAUCUUUUCUUGAUAUAUUAUUUGAGAUAUAACCUGCCCAAUGAUAUUAAUUUAAUGGCCGCGGUAUUUUGACCGUGCAAAGGUAGCAUAAUCAUUAGUUUAUUAAUUGUAAACUUGUUAUGAAUGGUUGGACGAAAUAUUAUCUGUCUCUUUUUAAUUAUUAUAAUUUAAAUUUUGAGUUAUAAUGCUUAAAUUUAUUUAAAGGACGAGAAGACCCUAUAGAUCUUAAUUAUUAAUUAGUUAUUUUUUUUUAGUUUAUUUAUUUUAUUAAUUUGUUAAUUGUUUUGUUGGGGUGAUAUGGAGAUAUAAUUAACUCUUUAUUUUUGUUUUCAUAAAUUUAUGUUUAAUUGACCUUUUAUUAUUGGUUAUAAGAUAUAGAUACCUUAGGGAUAACAGCGUAAUUUUUUCUGAGAGUUCUUAUUAACGAAAAAGAUUGCGACCUCGAUGUUGGAUUAAGAUAAAAUUUAGGUGUAGAUGCUUAAUUUUGUUAGGUCUGUUCGACCUUUAAAUUCUUACAUGAUCU